rnacentral:tRNA from 1 species
UAUGAAGUGCCUGAAAAAGGCUUAUUGUGAUAGAAUAAUUCAUGUAAUAUCAUAUUACCUUCAUAA